ensembl:snRNA U6 U6 spliceosomal RNA
GUGCUCAGUAGCAGUGCAUAUGCUAAAAGUGGAAUGAUACAGAGGAGAUUAGCUUGACCACUCUGUGCGGAGCACAUGCAAAUUUGUAAAGCAUUCUAUAUUUUU